AUACGAAGGGGGCUAGCGUUGUUCGGAAUUACUGGGCGUAAAGCGCUCGUAGGCGGCUUGUUAAGUCGGAUGUGAAAGCCCUGGGCUCAACCUGGGAACUGCAUUCGAUACUGGCAGGCUAGAGUAUAGUAGAGGCAAGUGGAAUUCCGGGUGUAGCGGUGAAAUGCGUAGAUAUCAGGAGGAACAUCAGUGGCGAAGGCGACUUGCUGGACUAAUACUGACGCUGAGGAGCGAAAGCGUGGGGAGCAAACGGGAUUAGAAACCCCAGUAGUCC
rnacentral:rRNA from 1 species